CCUACGGGUGGCAGCAGUGGGGGAUAUUGCACAAUGGGGGGAACCCUGAUGCAGCGACGCCGCGUGGGUGAAGAAGCGCUUCGGCGCGUAAAGCCCUGUCAGCAGGGAAGAAAAUGACGGUACCUGAAGAAGAAGCACCGGCUAACUACGUGCCAGCAGCCGCGGUAAUACGAAGGGGGCAAGCGUUAUCCGGAUUUACUGGGUGGAAAGGGGGCGCAGACGGCGGUGCAAGCCAGGAGUGAAAGCCCGGGGCCCAACCCCGGGAAUGCUCUUGGAACUGGGUGGCUGGAGUGCAGGAGGGGCAGGCGGAAUUCCUGGUGUAGCGGUGAAAUGCGUAGAUAUUAGAAAGAACACCAAUAGCGUAGGCAGGUUUCUGGGACGGUUCUGACACUGAGGCACGAAAGCGUAGGGAGCAAACGGGAUUAGAUACCCUAGUAGUC
rnacentral:rRNA from 1 species